rnacentral:rRNA from 1 species
GAUGAACGCUGGCGGCGUGCCUAAUACAUGCAAGUCGAGCGAACGGACGAGAAGCUUGCUUCUCUGAUGUUAGCGGCGGACGGGUGAGUAACACGUGAAUAACCUACCUAUAAGACUGGGAUAACUUCGGGAAACCGGAGCUAAUACCGGAUAAUAUUUUGAACCGCAUGGUUCACAAGUGAAAGACGGUCUUGCUGUCACUUAUAGAUGGAUCCGCGCUGCAUUAGCUAGUUGGUAAGGUAACGGCUUACCAAGGCAACGAUGCAUAGCCGACCUGAGAGGGUGAUCGGCCACACUGGAACUGAGACACGGUCCAGACUCCUACGGGAGGCAGCAGUAGGGAAUCUUCCGCAAUGGGCGAAAGCCUGACGGAGCAACGCCGCGUGAGUGAUGAAGGUCUUCGGAUCGUAAAACUCUGUUAUUAGGGAAGAACAUAUGUGUAAGUAACUGUGCACAUCUUGACGGUACCUAAUCAGAAAGCCACGGCUAACUACGUG